rnacentral:rRNA from 1 species
GAUGAACGCUAGCGGCAGGCUUAACACAUGCAAGUCGAGGGGCAGCGCGGGAUAGCAAUAUCCUGGCGGCGACCGGCGGAAGGGUGCGUAACGCGUGAGCGACAUGCCCGUUGCCCGGGGACAACCGGUGGAAACGCCGACUAAUCCCCGAUGGGAUACGAUGCUUCAUGGCAUUGUAUUGAAAGUUACGGCGGCGACGGAUUGGCUCGCGUCCGAUUAGCUGGUUGGCGGGGUAACGGCCCACCAAGGCUGCGAUCGGUAGGGGUUCUGAGAGGAAGGCCCCCCACAAUGGGACUGACACACGGCCCAUACUCCUACGGGAGGCAGCAGUGAGGAAUAUUGGUCAAUGGGCGGAAGCCUGAACCAGCCAUGCCGCGUGCGGGAAGGAGGCCCUAUGGGCUGUGAACCGCUUUUGCCUGGGGGCAAUAAGGGCGUCGCGCACGUCCGAUGAGAGUACCAGGCGAAUAAGCAUCGGCUAACUCCGUG